AUGAAGGAGAAAGAGAGAGGAAAGAGGAGAGGAAGGUGCAGCGGCAGAUGGAGGAACACAAGCCGGCACAGGCCAUUCGCAUCUCUCCUCCUCUCCUGCCUUGACCACCACGAUUGGUCAACACCGAGGAAGACGAGGAAGACAGAGCCAGAGGAAGAUGGCCCAGCCCUGCUGUCGACGCCCACCGGCCACCCCGAUGGAAGGCGUUGCGCUAUUGAAGGAGUCCAUCAAGAACUGGAGGCAAUGGCCUAUGACAUGGGGAGGUAUGUGCUUCAUGAUUGUUGUUGGUUAAUUGAGAGUAUGUGA
rnacentral:rRNA from 1 species